rnacentral:rRNA from 1 species
UACGGAGGAUGCAAGCGUUAUCCGGAAUGAUUGGGCGUAAAGAGUCCGUAGGUGGUGAUUCAAGUCGAUUGUUAAAGAGCGAGGCUUAACCUCGUAAAAGCAGUGGAAACUGAAUCGCUAGAGAGAGGUAGGGGUAGAGGGAAUUCCCGGUGUAGCGGUGAAAUGCGUAGAGAUCGGGAAGAACACCAGUGGCGAAGACGCUCUACUGGACCUCAUCUGACACUGAGGGACGAAAGCUAGGGGAGCGAAAGGG